rnacentral:rRNA from 1 species
UCCCGGGCCUUGUACACACCGCCCGUCACACCAUGGGAGUGGGUUGCAAAAGAAGUAGGUAGCUUAACCUUCGGGAGGGCGCUUACCACUUUGUGAUUCAUGACUGGGGUGAAGUCGUAACAAGGUAACCGUAGGGGAACCUGCGGUUGGAUCACCUCCUUA